rnacentral:rRNA from 1 species
UACAGAGGGUGCGAGCGUUGUUCGGAAUUACUGGGCGUAAAGCGCGCGCAGGCGGCUUCCUAAGUCCGUCGGUGAAAGACCGGGGCUCAACCCCGUGUCAGCCAUGGAUACUGGGGGGCUGGAGACGAGGUAGAGGCAAGCGGAAUUCCGGGUGUAGCGGUGGAAUGCGUAGAGAUCCGGAAGAACACCGGAGGCGAAGGCGGCUGCUGGACCUGGUCUGACGCUGAGGUGCGAAAGCGUGGGGAGCAAACAGG